UGGGGAAUUUUGGACAGUGGGCGAAAGCCUGAUCCAGCAAUGCCGCGUGUGUGAAGAAGGCCUUCGGGUUGUAAAGCACUUUUGUCCGGAAAGAAAUCCUUGGCUCUAAUACAGUCGGGGGAUGACGGUACCGGAAGAAUAAGCACCGGCUAACUACGUGCCAGCAGCCGCGGUAAUACGUAGGGUGCAAGCGUUAAUCGGAAUUACUGGGCGUAAAGCGUGCGCAGGCGGUUUGCUAAGACCGAUGUGAAAUCCCCGGGCUCAACCUGGGAACUGCAUUGGUGACUGGCAGGCUAGAGUAUGGCAGAGGGGGGUAGAAUUCCACGUGUAGCAGUGAAAUGCGUAGAGAUGUGGAGGAAUACCGAUGGCGAAGGCAGCCCCCUGGGCCAAUACUGACGCUCAUGCACGAAAAGCGUGGGGAGCAAACAGGAUUAGAUACCCUGGUAGUCCACGCCCUAAAACGAUGUCAACUAGUUGUUGGGGAUUCAUUUCCUUAGUAACGUAGCUAACGCGUGAAGUUGACCGCCUGGGGAGUACGGUCGCAAGAUUAAAACUCAAAGGAAUUGACGGGGUCAUA
rnacentral:rRNA from 1 species